GAUGAAGAACGCAGUGAAAUGCGAUAAGUAAUGUGAAUUGCAGAAUUCAGUGAAUCAUCGAAUCUUUGAACGCACCUUGCACCCUUUGGCAUUCCGAAGGGUAUGCUCGUUUGAGUGUCAUUGUACUCUCACUCUCCCGAUCUUUGGAUCGGGAGUGGUGGACUUGGGUGUUGCUGCUUUACCGUGGCUCACCUCAAAUGGAUUCGUGCAACUCCUGGUUGGACAUAGUACGGCGUGAUAAGUGUCUUCGCCGGCACCUCACUAGAGGGUGGCUGACCGGGAGCUCUGUGCUUCAAACCGUCUUCGGACAACCUCUGACAACUUGACCUCAAAUCGAGUAGGACCACCCGCUGAACUUAAGCAUAUCAAUAAGCGGAGGA
rnacentral:misc_RNA from 1 species